AGGAAAGCAGGGGAUCGUCAAGACCUUGCGUUAAUGGAGCGGCCGAUAUCUGAUUAGCUAGUUGGUGGGGUAAAGGCCCACCAAGGCUUCGACCAGUGGCUGGUCUGAGAGGACGACCAGCCACACUGGAACUGAGACACGGUCCAGACUCCUACGGGAGGCAGCAGUGGGGAAUUUUGGACAAUGGGCGCAAGCCUGAUCCAGCCAUUCCGCGUGAGUGAAGAAGGCCUUCGGGUUGUAAAGCUCCUUCGCAAGGGAAGAAAACUUACCUUCUAAUAAAGGGUGAGGCUGACGGUACCUUGAUAAGAAGCACCGGCUAACUACGUGCCAGCAGCCGCGGUAAUACGUAGGGUGCGAGCGUUAAUCGGAAUUACUGGGCGUAAAGCGUGCGCAGGCGGUUUUGUAAGUCAGAUGUGAAAGCCCUGGGCUCAACCUGGGAACUGCGUUUGAAACUACAAGGCU
rnacentral:rRNA from 1 species